rnacentral:tRNA from 1 species
UUCUCCGUGGCGCAAUGGUAGCGCGUCUGACUCCAGGUCAGAAGGUUGCGUGUUCAAAUCACGUCGGGGUCA